rnacentral:lncRNA from 1 species
AAAACAGGAGCGGUUCGCCCUAUAAGGAAAUUCCCCGCCUCCCAGCCCAUCAUGCCUUGCUGCCGACUUCCGGUUCUCCAGGGUAUAAAGCGGCGGCUCCGGGCCAAAUUUCAGGAGAAGCUUUGGUGCGAGCCUCUUGACUCUUCUGACCUGGAUCGUUUUCCCUGGAAUAAAUGGUGUCAGACUCGUUGCUAAAUAGUCUGACAACCAGAGGGGACGAGCCCAUGGCUGCCGAAGGUUCCAGGUCAGCCCCCAGAGCCCGGUGAAGCCACUCUACCUCCCGCUCGCUCUUCGCGUCUCAGGUAAUCUUCGAAGCAAGGGAAGAGAAGAGUAUGCUAUCCUGUCAUGACAUUUCUUUUCAAAAUACGUGGCUUAAAGAGGAACGGAAAGAGAAGUCAUUAUUUCCAAACUUCAAGGACAGAGAUCCUCUAGGAUUCUACCCAGUAUUGAGCUUGCAUUCCUGUUGUUUUAGAAGACACUGCUUUCCGGUCUUUGGUAUCAUUGAGCAUGUAACAUGGGUAAGAGAUGUGUAGGCAUCAUGAAUUAAGGAGAAGAAAGCCAGAAGAAUUGGAAAAUACUGAACUGAGCCUUGAGAAUAUAGAGACACCACACAACUAUGACAUUUCACCAACUCUGGGCUACUUGUGAUGUGAAACAGUAAAUUCUUUACUUGUUCAGGCCAUUACCUGGAUCUUUACUACCUACUACUGAAGCUAUCUUAUGUAAAUUAUGUCUGUGGUUUAUAAAAGGAUGUAAAAAAAAAAAUUAAAAAAAUAAAGGAUGUAGGUCAGGAGGAAUAUAGGCCCUU